rnacentral:rRNA from 1 species
CUACGGGGGGCACCAGUGAGGAAUAUUGCACAAUGGGGGGAACCCUGAUGCAGCAACGCCGCGUGGAGGAUGACGCAUUUCGGUGUGUAAACUCCUUUUAUAUGUCAAGAAAAUGACGGUAGCAUAUGAAUAAGCACCGGCUAACUCCGUGCCAGCAGCCGCGGUAAUACGGAGGGUGCAAGCGUUACUCGGAAUCACUGGGCGUAAAGGACGCGUAGGCGGGCUUGUAAGUCAGGUGUGAAAUCCUACAGCUUAACUGUAGAACUGCACUUGAAACUACGAGCCUAGAGUAUGGGAGGGGGAGAUGGAAUUAGUGGUGUAGGGGUAAAAUCCGUAGAUGUCACUAGGAAUACCUAAAGCGAAGGCGAUCUCCUGGAACAUAACUGACGCUAAGGCGUGAAAGCGUGGGGAGCAAACAGGAUUAGAUACCCCUGUAGUC